rnacentral:snoRNA from 1 species
AUGCAUCUACUGAUAGACCAUGAGCAUUUCUGCUUGCUCUCUGGUUUGCAUUUAGGUGCAAAAGAGAACUUCCUAGUGCUUUCUGCCUGCCUGCCUCUGUGGCAGCUCAGACUGAAUAGGGGAACACAGAU